UUAUCCGAUACACGAACCCGACCCGGCCUCGUAAAUAUAGCUACAACGUGUAAAAAAUUUACCAGCAAAAUGCGAAAAAUUUACAGGCCAGCGAGGAUGUGUGCAUGAUACUAGCCCAAAACUCCGGAAGGCGAGCAACCAAACGAUGUGGUGCAGCCUGGGUGCUUAACCAAACGAACCGAAACAAGAACCAAAGCAUGGAAGAAUGCCGGUCAAUGCGCUAGCAAGGGCCCAGAUGCACGGAAGGUUUCACUUUCAAGGGCUACGCGCGAGCCUAUGAACGGACUCGCACUGACAAAAUCAGUCGCCUGAUUUAAUGCGUUUAACUUAAUGUUAGCUAAAAUGUCACGCCAAGCGUCUUAACUUCUCAAUUGAAGGUGACACGCAAAGAUAUUGUACACUGAUCAACAUAAUCACGACAGUUUCUGAUGCAUAUCAGCAAUAGAGGUAUUAGUAUGCCAAAAAUUGUGCCCAAGAAACUCGGCCACCCAAAAUGUGUAUGCUUCCAUUGUCGGUUGGGUGUCCAUGUAGUUACCAGGAAGGUAUUUGCUCCUCA
rnacentral:lncRNA from 1 species